CAGAAAUAGACUCAUAGACAUAGAAUACAAACUCGUUGUUGCCAAGGGGCGGGGGGUGGGAAGGGAUAGACCGGGAUUUCAAAAUUAGUAGAUACUGACUGGCAUAUGUAGAAUAGAUAAACAAGAUUAUAUGGUAUAGCACAGGGAAAUAUAUACAAGAUCUUGUGGUAGCUCACAGU